rnacentral:misc_RNA from 1 species
AAGUCGUAACAAGGUUUCCGUAGGUGAACCUGCGGAAGGAUCAUUAACACGUAUCCAAACGUUAAAACCCCCCCCGUGAACCUUCAUCCUGCUCUUGUAACCCGCGUAGUUCGCAAUCUCUGAUAAAUCAUAGCCCGGAAAGUUGUAGUGAUUCAGAGACCUCUGGCUACGUGCGAACAUUGGAACAGUUUUUUUACCUAAUGUAUUACAUUGAGCUUCACAUUAAACUGUGGGGUUAUUAGGGGGCAUGGGGACCCUUUGGCAAAGCUCCUGCCCGAGUGUACGGUCUACAGGCGCUAUCCUUGCACAAUCAAUGACACUUUCCGACACUGACUGCUUGGGGAAACAUUGCCUAUAGAACUACCGCUCGAUUGUAACCGAACAACUGUUAACAAUGGAUAUCUUGGUUCUC